CGCCUUCCGACUGUCCUUGCGAGUACCACGGCAUGUUUUAUCCUUCUGGACAGACGCUGCAGGAGGAGUGCAACAACUGCACAUGCGUUGGUGGAGUGUGGAACUGCACCGACUACAGCUGCCCAGGCGAAUGCUCGGUGACUGGCGAUAUGU